GAUGAAGAACGUAGCGAAAUGCGAUAAGUAAUGUGAAUUGCAGAAUUCAGUGAAUCAUCGAAUCUUUGAACGCACAUUGCGCCCGUCAGUAUUCUGGCGGGCAUGCCUGUUCGAGCGUCAUUACGCCCCUCAAGUCCCCUGUGGACUUGGUGUUGGGGAUCGGCGAGGCUGGUUUUCCAGCACAGCCGUCCCUUAAAUUAAUUGGCGGUCUCGCCGUGGCCCUCCUCUGCGCAGUAGUAAAUCACUCGCAACAGGAGCCCGGCGCGGUCCACUGCCGUAAAACCCCCCAACUUUUUAUAGUUGACCUCGAAUCAGGUAGGACUACCCGCUGAACUUAAGCAUAUCAAUAAGCGGAGGA
rnacentral:misc_RNA from 1 species